rnacentral:rRNA from 1 species
AGAGUUUGAUUCUGGCUCAGGACGAACGCUGGCGGCGUGCCUAACACAUGCAAGUCCAGAGAAUUGGACUCUUCGGAUUCCAUAGUAAACUGGCGAACGGGUGAGUAACACGUAAGUACCUGCCCCAGGGACGGGGAUAACACUGCUAACGCGGUGCUAAUACCGGAUAAUGCAGCGAUCCGCAUGGAUAUGUUGUUAAAGCUGGCCUCUUCAUGAAAGCUAGCGCCUUGGGAUGACUUGCGUCCCAUUAGUUAGUUGGCGGGGUAACGGCCCACCAAGACUGCGAUGGGUAGCGGCCUGAGAGGGUGAUCGGCCACACUGGGACUGAGAUACGGCCCAGACUCCUACGGGAGCAGCAGUGAGGAAUAUUGCGCAAUGGUCGCAAGACUGACGCAGCAACGCCGCGUGAGGGUGAAGUACUUCGGUAUGUAAACCUCUGUUAGAAGGGAAGAAUAGGUGGAUGUCGAACAGCAGCCAUCGUGACGGUACCUUCAGAGAAAGCCCCGGCUAACUCCGUGCCAGCAGCCGCGUAA